UCCGUAAAUUCAGUUCAGUUAUAUAUUUGUCAAUUAUGCUGUCACAAUUCAUUUUGUUUUUACAAAAGUUCAUUCUGCCAAGAAAGGAUAAACAGAAUUGAACAUAACACAAUUGGGAAAAUAGAGGAAAACGUAAAACCAAGUUUUAAUUACUAAAGCGAUAGGAAACUAAAGCAAUCGUUGAAUCCCCAGACAAGUCGAGUCAAUAAAUAUUGUAACCAAAGAGGAAACAA